AGAGACGAGCGCACUGCCCUUCACAGCUCGCUUCUCUUUUAGAGUUCAAAAAAAUAAGAAAGCGGGUUUUAGGGUUUUUGAGUUGAGAGAUAAAAAAGAUAGAAAGAGUGAUGGCAAAGCCAAGAUGUUAUUUAGAUAUAAGUAUAGGAGGAGAGCUAGAAGGGAGAAUAGUGGUGGAGUUAUACAAAGAUGUUGUCCCUAAAACUGCGGAGAACUUCAGGGCUUUGUGCACCGGUGAAAAAGGCAUUGGACCCAACACUGGUGUCCCUCUUCAUUACAAGGGGGGUCGUUUUCAUCGUGUUGUCAGAGGUUUUAUGAUACAAGGUGGUGACAUAUCAGCAGGGGAUGGAACUGGAGGAGAAUCUAUAUAUGGAUUGAAAUUUGAGGAUGAAAACUUUGAGUUGAAACAUGAAAGAAAAGGAAUGUUGUCAAUGGCUAAUAUGGGCCCUGACACCAAUGGAUCUCAGUUUUUUAUCACAACCACUCGAACUUCUCAUCUAGAUGGAAAGCAUGUUGUUUUUGGGAAGGUAACCAAAGGAAUGGGAGUGGUUCGUUCUAUUGAGCACGUUGUGACUGAGGGAGGUGAUUCUCCCUCUCAAGAAACAGUAAUUGUUGAUUGCGGGGAAAUUCCUGAAGGAGAGGACGAUGGGAUAUCUGACUUCUUUAAAGACGGUGAUACUUAUCCUGAUUGGCCGGCAGACCUAGACAUGAAGCCAGAUGAGAUUUCUUGGUGGAUGAAGGCAGUUGAUUCGAUCAAAGCUUUUGGAAACGAACAGUACAAGAAGCAAGACUGUAAGAUGGCUCUUCGAAAGUAUCGUAAGGCUUUGCGCUACCUGGAUGUUUGUUGGGAGAAGGAAGACAUUGAUGAAGAGAAGAGCUCAUCACUGAGGAAGACAAAGUCUCAGAUAUUUACAAAUAGCUCUGCUUGUAAACUGAAGCUUGGAGAUAUUAAAGGAGCAUUAUUGGACACAGACUUUGCCAUGCGUGAUGGAGAAGACAAUGCAAAAGCUUUUUUCCGCCAAGGCCAGGCAUAUAUGGCACUCAAUGACAUAGACGCUGCAGUUGCAAGCUUCAAGAAGGCUCUAGACUUGGAGCCCAAUGAUGGAGGAAUAAAGAAAGAGCUUGCCAGUGCUAGGAAGAAGAUUGCUGAUAGGCAUGAUCAGGAGAAAAGGGCCUAUGCUAGAAUGUUUCAAUAGUGUGUUCAGCUGGUAACCUGGUUAUUACCUGUUGUUUGGUCCGUUCACUUUUGAUUUCUCACAUGUGAGGUUGUAUAAUCAACGGUUUACGGGUCUCUGUCUGCGUAAUCAUCAGGUUUUCUUUUGAGGACAUAUAAAGCUGCCAGAUCUUUGGAGAGGGCCUUAUUUUUACCCUUGAGAAGGCAAAUUGGAAAGGCACUGAUUUUGCUCUAAAUGAUGGUUCAGUUUUUUGGUUAUACUUUGUGUACUGGCCGAAGCUUGUCUCUGCUACUUUACAUACUCAAAUUGAAUCGUCUAGUUUAUACAAUGGAUAUUUUCAUUUCAAAUGCAUGACUUUUGUUUGUCA